GUAUCUCAUGGAGCUGCACAUUUUGAGUGGUGAAAGGUCAAAGUCAAGGUCAUCCUUCAAGGUCAGAGGUAAAACAUAUUUGUCCCAAAUCGCUUAUUUUAUUAAUACUUUUGAAAUAUUGAAGAUAGCAACUUGAUAUUUGGCAUGCAUGUGUAUCUCAUGGAGCUGCACAAUUUGAGUGGUGAAAGGUCAAGGUCAUCCUUCAAGGUCAAGGUCAUCCUUAAAGGUCAAAUAUAUGGGUCAAAAUUGCUCAUGUAAUGUCACUUCUGCAAUAUUGAAGCUAGCAAUUUUAUAUUUGAAAUGCAUGUGUAUCUCAUGGAGCUGCACAUUUUGAGUGGUGAAGGGUCAAGGUCAUCCUUCAAGGUCAAACAUUAUUUAGGGGGACAUUGUGUUUCACAAACGCAUCUUGUUUCAAAUUAUCUUUAUUCAACAACAUUUUGUAUAACGAUAAAACAACUCACUCUUAGAGAUACGUCUAGUAGUGAUGCACUGCUUUCAACCAACAAACCAUCUGCCUCGUUCUCGAAACUCAAGUCUGGUGAACGGUUAUCUGACAUUUCCUCAGUUUCUGGUGUGGAAUUCGUCUCAUCUGCUUCAGGGCCAUUUUCCAGAGUCUGUAAGGUAAACAAAUAAAAUUAAAUCAGCACAUCAAAGACCUAGAAAUACACAUACUUUUUCAAACUAACAUGAAAGAAUGAUGUUCAGAUACGUAAUAUUUAUGCUUCUGUAUCAUGUUGUAAACACCGUCAGAUUCUAUACCGAUAGAGUAACUGACCCAUGUUCAUUCUUGAAACCUCGUAUAGCCUAGUGGCAACAUAUCCGCUUCAAAAUAUCAGAUACCAUUGGUUCGAUCCUCGGCUGUGAGCUACAUAAAAUAAAUCAUGAACUGUGCCAUGGGUAUGUCUGCCAUUAUCCCAUGCUUGAUUGUACCACAAGGAAUCACUGAUUUGAAUAGUAAGCUCGAUUUAAUAAUCCAUCGGAAUCGUUUUAAGGUGAUAAUCUGAUUACACGCAGUGCGCAAUCUGAUUAUGUGAUGACUUAAAUUAGUAUAAGUAUUAA